rnacentral:rRNA from 1 species
UACGAAGGGGGCUAGCGUUGUUCGGAGUUACUGGGCGUAAAGGGCGCGUAGGCGGCGCACCAAGUCAGGCGUGAAAGCCCUGGGCUCAACCCAGGAAUUGCGCUUGAGACUGGUGUGCUUGAGUACGGGAGAGGAUAGUGGAAUUCCCAGUGUAGAGGUGAAAUUCGUAGAUAUUGGGAAGAACACCGGUGGCGAAGGCGGCUAUCUGGACCGUAACUGACGCUGAGGCGCGGAAAGCGUGGGGAGCAA